rnacentral:rRNA from 1 species
GAUGAACGCUGGCGGCGUGCUUAACACAUGCAAGUCGAACGGUGAAGCCCAGCUUGCUGGGUGGAUCAGUGGCGAACGGGUGAGUAACACGUGAGCAACCUGCCCCGGACUCUGGGAUAAGCGCUGGAAACGGCGUCUAAUACUGGAUACGACCCCGGAAGCCAUUCUAAGUGGUUGGACAGAUUUUUUGGUCUGGGAUGGGCUCGCGGCCUAUCAGCUUGUUGGUGAGGUAAUGGCUCACCAAGGGGUCGACGGGGAGCCGGCCGGAGAGGGUGACCGGCCACACUGGGACUGAGACACGGCCCAGACUCCUACGGGAGGCAGCAGUGGGGAAUAUUGCACAAUGGGCGCAAGCCUGAUGCAGCAACGCCGCGUGAGGGAUGACGGCCUUCGGGUUGUGAACCUCUUUUAGCAAGGAAGAAGCGAAAGUGACGGUACUUGCAGAAAAAGCGCCGGCUAACUACGUGCCAGCCGCCGCCGUAACAC